UCCUCCCCCCACCUUCACAAAUUCAGGGAGGGCCUGCCCUUCAAAGGGGAAUCAAAGGGGAAAGACACAGGUGGGCACCUGACUAAGGUGCCAGGCCUGGCAGACCCAGGGAACGGCCAAAGGCCAAAACCCCCGAUGGACUGGGCUUCAGCACAACCCCUUGGCAGCAGGGCAGGGCCUUCUAGCCUGCCCGGGAGGAAACGGCCCUUUUAAGAUGCUCCUGCCCCUCAGCCCCCUCCCCAUCCCCCGGUUCCCUUCUGGCGGCAGAGCCAAGGUCUGACUUCUUUGUCUGGCGUUCAAGGCCAAGCCUGCCUCUGCCUCUGCCUGGAACACGGAGCUUCGGUUCCGUUCUCUCCGCCGGGAAGCCCUCUGGGACUGAGCGAAAGUUGGGGAGCGGUGCCUUCCGCACCCUGGAGAAAACGGGCACGCAGGAACAUCGAAGCUGGUGCUGGGGAGGACACUGACCAGGGACCAAAUGGACUGCCCCGGGCGGGCUGGACUAACUUAAACGGGCUCUCCGAAUCAAAGGGCAUCUUCGCCCAGGAAGUCCUGCCUGGAAAUGUGCAAGGCAGACAGAGCUUGCUGAUUUCUGCCAACAAUGGAAGGGGGCCCACCCAGCCUUGCUCACGCUGUCUCGCCGGCGAGUCUGGGCAUUUUAACCACACCGUGAACUGUUAGAAGCCGCGAGUUGGCAGAGACGGCCGGAUCCCAAUCUCGGGCUUGAAUCCUCCACAUGAUGAUGAAUGUAAAUAUCUUACGGGUGGAUUUAAGACCCACCUGUUCAAAGAACAGCUCGAUGUUAUUUCCUGGGAAACUGUUUGCUCUCUCGUUCGGAUAAUCCCACAGUUCUCUGUUCUGGGCCCAGAAGAGCAGCGCCACUUCACAAUAGCCUCCACAUUGUCACUCCACACUCUUAAAAUAUGUCUUUUUACAGAAGAGUGCAGAUUCAUUAAAUCAUGAUCAAUUUCUUACUUUUGUAAAAAAAAAAAAGAAAAAGUUGUCGGGGGGACAGUUCCUCCACGAGAAGGAAUUUCUUAGAAAUAUGGCGGCUUCCAGCCUACGUCCCUGAGUUAGCCCGCUUGGCUCCUGUUAGAUUAUUUUGUCAAGAGCACUGAAUUGUGUAUGUUCGAGAUCGCUCGUGUCCAUUUUUAAGAGGAGACAAUGUUAUUUUCAUAUAAACAUGAAAUUCUAUUCUGCGACAUAAAACUGAAUUUUAUCAAA